rnacentral:piRNA from 1 species
UGGUGAAUUUGUGGCCUCAGGCUCCC